GGUGUGGAGAGAGAACAAGGCCAUUCAUUACGCUGUCCGGUGUGGGGGUUAGGGGGAUAAGAUGGUGGCCUGCUGAUGGUGAAGAAUCGGGGACAAUGCCAGGAAUGGCUACAGAAGCAUUCUUGCAAAUGUCAUCUUCUCUGUCAGAGAGCACAGUGAGGUUUUACUGGCUCGGCUUCUAAGGGAACACAAGAACCUGGGGAACAUGGAGGAGGUUGUAGGCCCUCUCUUCCCUCUGGUGCAGGCCUUCAGUGAGGGGUAGGGAGGGCUACCCUCUACCACCUGGAGUUUUCUCUCCUCCCACUCACCCUAAGCCCUGGAAAUCACAAAGGACUCCAGAGGGGAGGCCCUGGAUUUACCUUCCAUCUAGCUUUUCCCAAAAGCUGGCGUCAAAUGUGGCAUUUACCCUCAGUACCUGUACGCUUAGGCCUCCUGGAUCCGAUUACUAGUUUUGUUUGCCAAUUCACCAAUUUGCAAAAUGCCAUAAUUGACACUCAUUAGUGUAAAUUAGCAAGGGGCUCCUUUAGAACCCCUCUUAAGACCCACACUUUAAGUCUGGAAUUGCAAGUCCCCGAGGUCUGGAUUUGUAGCUGCUCCCCCAACAAGAUUUUUAGCCUAGCUCUACAUAAUAUCUUUUCACCAGAGUUUAAAAGCGUGGCUGAGAAUAGUUAAUCCCGGGAUUUUAAGUGCGCUUACUCAGAGUUCCAGGGGACUUCUGAGUGUUCUGAAGUUCUGCACCUUUGGGAAGCAGUUGCAGAAAGUGGGUGAAAUCUGGUAUAGGAUCGGCUUCUCUUUCUCUACAGGUGUCAUUUAGCUGAGGGAUGGUUGUGGCCUAGGAAGGCCAGUGAGUGUAGACACUAAAGCAUAGGAAAAGCAGACUUCAUGUACAGACCAAAGUCCAGACCAGCUCUGCUGCCACUCUGGACUUGGGACCUAGAGAGUUUGGCUUAGGGUGCCAGAGCGCAUCCCUCUCUGUUUCUCAUGAGAAGCCUCCUGCCCCUGGGUUUAACCCGGGAAGCUCCAGGUGUCUGAUGAGUUGGGGCAGCUGAAGGGAAAAGACAGGAACCACAGCAAGGUUAGCCGCACUGCAACUCGAGGCCCGUGCAGGACCAGCGGGCACACAGGUGCUAGGAGUAAGGAAAGAAAUUGAUGUGGGCAGUGCAAUGGGUCUUCCAAGGAGAACCGGUGUGCUCCAGACACUUGACGGCAGAGAGAUCAGCAACUCGCUAUGCUUUUGAAGAACAUUUCCCUCGGACUAGGCAAGUCCAGCCUCUCCAAACACACUCAGCGAACUACAGGUUCCAUUAAGACCGGUAUCCCAACCCAAACCAACGCCCUGGUGCACUUGGACAGCAUGCAGCCCCCGACGGUCCCUCACUUCUCUCCAGGAAACACCGCAGCCAAGGAAGGCGGGGGCCCGAAUGGUGGGGUUUUGUUUUGUGUGUUCAGAGGCAAUGGUUUGUUUUGUUUUGCAGCUGCGGUGUCCUGUAACAGUGCAGAGAGUUUUCUCCUCGGUGUCAAAAAAAAAAAAAAAAGGAAAACAAAAAUGAAAGCCCUUUCCCAGUGAAAGGGGACACCA